UCCCUGGUGGUCCAGUGGUUAGGACUCGGCACUCUCACUGCCAAGGGCCCGGGUUCCAUGAUCCCUGGCCAGGGAA